GAUGAACGCUGGCGGCGUGCCUAAUACAUGCCAGUCGAGCGAACAGACGAGGAACUUGCUCCUCUGACGUUAGCGGCGGACGGGUGAGUAACACGUGGAUAACCUACCUAUAAGACUGGGAUAACUUCGGGAAACCGGAGCUAAUACCGGAUAAUAUAUUGAACCGCAUGGUUCAAUAGUGAAAGACGGUUUUGCUGUCACUUAUAGAUGGAUCCGCGCCGCAUUAGCUAGUUGGUAAGGUAACGGCUUACCAAGGCAACGAUGCGUAGCCGACCUGAGAGGCUGAUCGGCCACACUGGAACUGAGACACGGUCCAGACUCCUACGGGAGGCAGCAGUAGGGAAUCUUCCGCAAUGGGCGAAAGCCUGACGGAGCAACGCCGCGUGAGUGAUGAAGGUCUUCGGAUCGUAAGACUCUGUUAUUAGGGAAGAACAAAUGUGUAAGUAACUAUGCACGUCUUGACGGUACCUAAUCAGAAAGCCACGGCUAACUACGUG
rnacentral:rRNA from 1 species